UGCAGUUAAAGCUCGUAGUUGGAUUUUGGUUAAGAGGGCGCGGUCGGCCGUUUGGUCUGUACUGCGUUGUCUUGACUUCCUGAUGAGGACAUGCUCUCGGUUAACGCUGAGACAUGGAGUCAUCGUGGUUACUUUGAAAAAAUUAGAGUGUUCAAAGCGGGCUUACGCUUGAAUAUAUUAGCAUGGAAUAACACUAUAGGACUCCUGUCCUAUCUCGUUGGUCUCGGGAUGGGAGUAAUGAUUAAGAGGAACAGUUGGGGGCAUUCGUAUUUCAUUGUCAGAGGUGAAAUUCUUGGAUUUAUGAAAGACGAACUUCUGCGAAAGCAUUUGCCAAGGAUGUUUUCAUUAAUCAAGAACGAAAGUUGGGGGCUCGAAGAUGAUUAGAUACCAUCCUAGUCUCAACCAUAAACGAUGCCGACUAGGGAUUGGUGGAUGUUAAUUGAUGACUUCACCAGCACCUUAUGAGAAAUCAAAGUUUUUGGGUUCCGGGGGGAGUAUGGUCGCAAGGCUGAAACUUAAAGGAAUUGACGGAAGGGCACCACCAGGCGUGGAGCCUGCGGCUUAAUUUGACUCAACACGGGGAAACUUACCAGGUCCAGACAUAAGUAUGAUUGACAGAUUGGGAGCCCUUUCUUGAAUCCUAUUGGGUGGGUGGGUGCAUGGCCGUUUCUUAAGUUGGGUGGGAGAUUAUUUUGGUUCUGGUUUAAAUUCCGGUUAAACGAAACGAGAACCCUCAGCCCUGGCUAAAAUAGGUACGGGCCCUAUUCUUAAGGGUUCGCGACUUCUUAGAGGGACUAUGUGCGUUUAGCACAUGGGAAGUUUGAGGCAAUAACAGGUCUGUGAU
rnacentral:rRNA from 1 species